CCUACGGGUGGCUGCAGUGGGGAAUAUUGGACAAUGGGCGAAAGCCUGAUCCAGCCAUGCCGCGUGUGUGAAGAAGGCCUUCGGGUUGUAAAGCACUUUCAGUGGGGAAGAAAGCCUUGGGGCUAAUACCCUCGAGGAAGGACAUCACCCACAGAAGAAGCACCGGCUAACUCCGUGCCAGCAGCCGCGGUAAUACGGAGGGUGCGAGCGUUAAUCGGAAUUACUGGGCGUAAAGCGCGCGUAGGCGGUCUGAUAAGCCGGUUGUGAAAGCCCCGGGCUCAACCUGGGAACGGCAUCCGGAACUGUCAGGCUAGAGUGCAGGAGAGGAAGGUAGAAUUCCCGGUGUAGCGGUGAAAUGCGUAGAGAUCGGGAGGAAUACCAGUGGCGAAGGCGGCCUUCUGGACUGACACUGACGCUGAGGUGCGAAAGCGUGGGUAGCAAACAGGAUUAGAUACCCUUGUAGUC
rnacentral:rRNA from 1 species